AUGAAAAAGUCCAAAUUUUUAUAAAUUGAAAAGUUACAAGUAUUUUUGCCAUCGUUUGAAUCAAUUAAAUUGAUUAUAUAGAAGCUAUAAAUUAUUUUUUUCAAAUUAAUCCAAUAAAUUAAUUAUUUUCAAACUCCUUGGUUUAUAAAUUCUGGAAUCGGAUUUACAAUAUCAGCGUAUUACCACACUUUUGAGAUCCACUUACAUUUUUGCGAAUAUUAGCAUUUCUUUGGAAAGAUACGAAUAAAAUUCACAAACGCAUGUUAGGAUUAGCUUUCGGAAAGCACCAAAUAUACCAAUAUUUGAACAUAUAUGACCAAAAACUUAAGGAAUUGCGUUUCAGAAUAAAACUAAGUGAUAUUUAUCGUUUACUAUACACCGUAAUUAUAGUGCUACCAAGAUUUCCACCGC